rnacentral:rRNA from 1 species
UACGUAGGGUGCGAGCGUUGUCCGGAAUUACUGGGCGUAAAGCGUGCGCAGGCGGUCCGCAAAGUCUGAUGUGAAAGCCCCGGGCUCAACCUGGGAACUGCAUUGGAAACUAACGGGCUCGAGUGUGGCAGAGGGGGGUGGAAUUCCACGUGUAGCGGUGAAAUGCGUAGAGAUGUGGAGGAACACCGAUGGCGAAGGCAGCCUCCUGGGCCAACACUGACGCUCAUGCACGAAAGCGUGGGGAGCAAACAGG